rnacentral:ncRNA from 1 species
UGACCUCGGAUCAGGUAGGAAUACCCGCUGAACUUAAGCAUAUCAAUAAGCGGAGGAAAAGAAACCAACAGGGAUUGCCCUAGUAACGGCGAGUGAAGCGGCAACAGCUCAAAUUUGAAAUCUGGCUUCGGCCCGAG